UAUUGCACAAUGGGCGCAAGCCUGAUGCAGCGACGCCGCGUGAGUGAAGAAGUAUCUCGGUAUGUAAAGCUCUAUCAGCAGGGAAGAAAAUGACGGUACCUGACUAAGAAGCCCCGGCUAACUACGUGCCAGCAGCCGCGGUAAUACGUAGGGGGCAAGUGUUAUCCGGAUUUACUGGGUGUAAAGGGAGCGUAGACGGAUCUGCAAGUCUGGAGUGAAAGCCCGGGGCUCAACCCCGGGACUGCUUUGGAAACUGUAGGUCUAGAGUGCCGGAGAGGUAAGCGGAAUUCCUAGUGUAGCGGUGAAAUGCGUAGAUAUUAGGAGGAACACCAGUGGCGAAGGCGGCUUACUGGACGGUAACUGACGUUGAGGCUCGAAAGCGUGGGGAGCAAA
rnacentral:rRNA from 1 species